rnacentral:rRNA from 1 species
AGGGAAAGGCGAAAAGAACCCCGGCGAGGGGAGUGAAAAAGAACCUGAAACCGUGUACGUACAAGCAGUGGGAGCCUCUUAAUGGGGUGACUGCGUACCUUUUGUAUAAUGGGUCAGCGACUUAUAUUCUGUAGCAAGGUUAACCGAAUAGGGGAGCCGAAGGGAAACCGAGUCUUAACUGGGCGUUAAGUUGCAGGGUAUAGACCCGAAACCCGGUGAUCUAGCCAUGGGCAGGUUGAAGGUUGGGUAACACUAACUGGAGGACCGAACCGACUAAUGUUGAAAAAUUAGCGGAUGACUUGUGGCUGGGGGUGAAAGGCCAAUCAAACCGGGAGAUAGCUGGUUCUCCCCGAAAGCUAUUUAGGUAGCGCCUCGUGAAUUCAUCUCCGGGGGUAGAGCACUGUUUCGGCAAGGGGGUCAUCCCGACUUACCAACCCGAUGCAAACUGCGAAUACCGGAGAAUGUUAUCACGGG